rnacentral:rRNA from 1 species
AGAGUUUGAUCCUGGCUCAGAUUGAACGCUGGCGGCAUGCUUUACACAUGCAAGUCGAGCGGCAGCGCGGGGGCAACCCUGGCGGCGAGCGGCGAACGGGUGAGGAAUACAUCGGAACGUACCCCGGAGUGGGGGAUAACGCCGCGAAAGCGGCGCUAAUACCGCAUAUGCUCUGAGGAGGAAAGUGGGGGGACCUGCAAGGGCCUCACGCUCUGGGAGCGGCCGAUGUCCGAUUAGCUAGUUGGUGGGGUAAAGGCCCACCAAGGCGACGAUCGGUAGCUGGUCUGAGAGGAUGAUCAGCCACACUGGGACUGAGACACGGCCCAGACUCCUACGGGAGGCGGCAGGUGGGGUAAUUUUGGACAAUGGGGGCAACCCUGAUCCAGCCAUGCCGCGUGCGGGAAGAAGGCCUUCGGGUUGUAAACCGCUUUUAGUCGGGAAGAAAAGGCAACUCUUAAUACGGGUUGUUCUUGACGGUACCGGCGGAAUAAGCACCGGCUAACUACGUG